GUGAGUCAUUCUGUUCAAUUUUUAUUGAGCUUUAAAUUUGUAUUUAAGCCCAUUCGGUAAUGAAAAGUAGCAAUAUUUUACACAUGAUUUACAGUCUAUUUGAAUAAUUAUGAAAAAUAUAAAAGGUGUGCAUUAUAGCUGACACCUAGAUGAACACUUUACAGUAUGUUUUAUGAAAGUGAGUCAUCCUGUUCAAUUUUUAUUGAGCUUUAAAUUUGUAUUUAAGCCCAUUCGGUAAUGAAAAGUAGCAAUAUUUUACACAUGAUUUACAGUCUAUUUGAAUAAUUAUGAAAAAUAUAAAAGGUGUGCAUUAUAGCUGACACCUAGAUGAACACUUUACAGUAUGUUUUAUGAAAGUGAGUCAUCCUGUUCAAUUUUUAUUGAGCUUUAAAUUUGUAUUUAAGCCCAUUCGGUAAUGAAAAGUAGCAAUAUUUUACACAUGAUUUACAGUCUAUUUGAAUAAUUAUGAAAAAUAUAAAAGGUGUGCAUUAUAGCUGACACCUAGAUGAACACUUUACAGUAUGUUUUAUGAAAGUGAGUCAUCCUGUUCAAUUUUUAUUGAGCUUUAAAUUUGUAUUUAAGCCCAUUCGGUAAUGAAAAGUAGCAAUAUUUUACACAUGAU